rnacentral:lncRNA from 1 species
GUCCGUCGGCGUUUUCAUAACUUUAAUUGUCUUUUUAAAAGCGGAGUACCUAACACGGCUUUCAAUUUUUACAACCUCGGACAUGUUUCACUUGACAAAAGCUUUAAGAAAAGAAUCAUAGAUUAGAACAAAAUUAAAAGAAAUGUAAUAACGAAUAAAUCAAAUGCGUAAACAUUAAUAACGAAUAAAUAAGUAUUGCACUAGUUUCACCACAUAAAAGUCAUAUUAUCAUAUAUAUCAAUAUAAAUUACAUAAUGUUAAUUAUAUAUUAGCCACAAAAAAUUGGGGUUACAAUUUCGACCCCAAAAUAUACGUCAGUGUAAUUUCUACCAAAAAAAAGGACUAACACCGACAAAAAAAUCACUCAUUAAAGACCAAGUGAUUGGGGAAGAUCAAGUGAAUUAGAAUCUUCCUCAUCUUCCGCAAUAACUUCAAAUUGUUGCUUUGGUUUUUCGGGAGUGUCCAACAAAAUAGGCGCCGCUUUGUUUGACUCUUUUUGUGGUUUCGCCGGUUUGUUUCCACUUUCAAUAGCCAUGAGCUUUCGGAACAACUCAUGUUGAUCCAAAUACUCAUCUUCCCAAGUCCCCGCAUCUUCUUUCUUGUGAUUGUGCCACUCCGUAGAUGAUGGAGGUAGCGGACAACCAUUUGUCAAAUAAAUAAGCACAAAAUGAUUCGGAAUUGCCCCAAGGCACAAGAUGGGAGUUUCCAACUUCAAGAUUUGUCAACACGACCACACACCUUUUGUAAUAAUUAGCAACAAUGUGUCUCAUGUCCGGAAAAGUCAACCACUUAUCAACAAGAUGUGCACAACUUUUUGUAUUUGCGGGAGGAUGUAAGCCAUUUAAAAUGUAGUUAUAACGAUCCUCACCCGCAAAUACUUCAACAUAAUCAUCUUUAUGAUCUUUCAACUCUUGAAUAAGAUGUGUACGAGUCAUGAUAUGAUUUUUUUCGGUCAAGCCCAUGAACUCGGCUAUAGCCCGGAAUCGACAAUGUCCAUCGCCAAUAACAUCCACAACUUUUUCAAUAAAUGGAAGUAUGAAGCGUGACAUAUAAUCAAUAGGCCUCAUAACCGGGAUAGCCUUAGACUUUGGAUACCGAGUAGGUCGUGGAAGUGGGUUAAGUGAUGUUUUACCAAGACAAGCACCUUUUUUCCUUUUAUAUGAUGAUGUUGUUGGUGAUGGUGACGGUUGACUAUCCGGAUUUUGGGAAUCAACACCCUCCCACGAAGAAGGGAUCCGACUAGUCGAUGUAAUUUUUCCUUUAGACCUCGCAAUGUCCACUUUUUUCUUGGCUCCCUUGGUUGGUACUUUUCGUGGUGGUGGAGACAUGAUGGUGAUUUCAGGAAAUGCCAACUGCCGCAAACCCUCUUUGACUUCAAGCUUCAUUUGGAAAGGGAGUUUCUUUAGACGUUCUACAAUAGCCUUCAACUCAACCUCGACACAAAAACCAACUUCGUUACUUUCUUCGCCCAUACGUAACCUAUGUCAAUGGUGGUGUAUCUCAUCCAAUAAAAUUGGCUUCUCUUCAAGGAGCUUAGUAGCAAUUUCGCAUGCACAUGGUAGCCAUAAGAUGUCCUUUGAACACAACCACAAAUGUCAUUGUCCAUGCACAAUGUUUCCCUACAGCGUGUCUCUUCCAAAGCAAUGUUGUCCAAAGCAUAUCUAGACACAUGACCACCUAAGCCGGUGUACAAAGUGACAUCUUUGAAUCUAUGUUCCAACAUGCUAACGCUCUGACCAAAGGUUGUUUGUAUCGCAGUGAACUGAAGCAACAACAUGUCAUGUAUUUUCUCUCAACAAGUACCCAAAUCACCCACACUAUUGUCCAAAUAUUUCUUCAAUAAAGCAUGAGCCGAUUCGACCCUGUUGGUGGUCCUGCAACCAAGAUGCAACACAUGGUCUGUCCAUGCCCUCACUAUUUUCUCCUUCACUUCAUUCAAGGUGGUCAUGGCAUAAUUUUUUAAAAGUGAGAAAUCACUACAUGAAUCUUGGAACUCCACUAAUGUAUUUGCAUAUAACUCUUGAAUGGACAAUUCAACCAUAGCUUUCCAUGCUCUCAUUAUCAUCUUCACAACAUCGCGAGAUUUCACCUCUUUCCCAUCAUUUUUUCCCAAAGGAUAUUUAUAAUCUAAGACGCACCUUUGUUUAACAUUUGCUUGCACAUGAAAGUAACAAUUCAUUGCAUAACUUUCGGGGAAAACAUUUGCAACCGCUUUUGUAACAGCCCGAUUUUUAGCUAGAUUUAUUUUAAUUACCUUUAUUGUGUGUUUGUGUGUGAUUAAUUGUAAUUGUAUGUAUUUUAUUGUCAUCGGGUGCAUUUACGUGGUUUACCGUAUUAGGAGGGUAUUUUGGUCAUUUGGCGGGUAAGGGUAAAAUGGUAAUUUUGGUGAGAAUUAUUUUAAUAAUUAGUGAGAACCCUUAUUUUACUAAGUUACUAGUGUAGUGAUUAGUUUUUACCAUCAGUGACCAUCGGUUAUAUUUUACCGUUGUUAGUAAUUACCGUGGAGUGUAUAGAAACUUUUGAAUUGUGUUAGGAUGGGUUAGACCCAUUAGAAUUUUGAGUUAAGCCCAUUAAGGGGGAUAACACUAGGGUUGUCUUAGAAUAGUUAUUCAUUUCACAAAACAAUUUUCAUGGAGAGAAGGAGAGGUAGAGAGAGAAGAGGUGAAGAGAAGAGCAAGAGGGUUGAAGGGAAGCUUUAGGAAUCAAGUGGGUGACCUAGGAGCUGAAUUGAAGCAAGGGUUAGAGAUAAUCAACUUCAAAGGUAAGGGGGUUAGGGAUUAUCAUAAUCAUGUGUAAUUUUGCAUAUUCUCAUGUUGUAUGAAAAUGAGUUGAUGAAUAAUUCAUGCUAAAUUCGUGCUCUUGUUGUGAUGUUAUGUUUGUAUGCAUGAAUUGAUGUUAGUUGUAUGAUUGUUGGUGAAAUUACAUGUUCAUAUAUGCAAAAAUGAUAAGUUAUGAAUAUUAUGCUAAAUUGGUGAAUUUCUCUUAUGUUGUUGUUGAUUUGAGAUGUGAUUCAUGUUCAAUUGAUGUUAUGAAUGUUAUUUGAUAUUAUGAUUGAUGAAUGAUUGCUUGGGUUUGCAUAUUCAUGGGUUGAUGAUGAGAAUUUGAAUUGUGUUGAAUUGGAAGAAAUGAAUUGUUGUUGUUGUUGAAGACUUAUUGUUUUGAGAAAAUCAUUUUAAUAAUUUCAUAACUUGUACAAAUGCCACGAAACGAGCGAGUUCGAUGUGUUAGAGCCUUGGGUUAUGCCUCGGAUCACUUUUGAUGAUUGAGGACUUUAAAUAUUCGAUUUUUGGUCAAAAUUGGCGAAAACCCGCGGCCGAAACACGCGAAAACAUGCGUUUACGGAGCGCUGCGCCUGAGCAAGGGCGCUAGGCGCCCACAAGUCAGGAAGCCAGCGUUGGGCGCCCCACUGCUAGCGCCAGGCGCCCCAGACAGGGUAACAUGCUUGUUGCUCCGUGUCCGGGUGCUUGGGGGUGGUCGUGUGAGGGUCCUAGGCGAUCGUUUUGAAGUGUUCUUUUGUUGUUUUCACAUACUUUUCUACUGGAACACAUUUGGCUUUGUCUGAACUUUAAUUUUCUAAAUGGUUUGAAACUUGAGUUUGCGUCGUUUCGGUUUUUCGGAAAUUAUUGGAACUUGGUCUUUGUGAACAAAAGGAGUUGCAAGCUUAGUCUACAGUUCUUAUGGGCUUAGGCAAUGCUUGUAAGGUUGGUGCAAUGUCUUAAUCAUGUCAAACUUGAUUUUCGGGUGGGAAUGUGGAAUGAAUAAACUUGAGAUUUUCUCAUACGAACUUAGGCUAACCUUUGAACUAAUGAUUGAUAGUUCGUAAGUGGCCUAUGCUCAUACUUAUAUGAUUGAUUAAGAUUGAAUUGUAGGAUUUCAAACUUGAAUAAGUUGCCUAACUUUGAAAAUUAUCAAUGUUGACCGUUUGCCACAUGAUUUGGAUUUUUGUCGGAAAUGUUUCUUUAGCAAAUUGUUUUGUGAGUUAUUGUGAUUAUUCUUGUAUGACUAAGUGAAGUUGUAUGAAUGAGUGAUUAUAUUUUGGAUAUGAUGUUUAUCAUGAGAUAUGUAUGCUAUCUUACUUAGAAUGUAAGGAAUGCUUGAAUAGUGAAACUAUAUGUGAUAGUUGAUGUUUAAUGGUUAUAUGUUGAAUAUGAUAUUUAUCAUGAGAUGUUGUUUUUCCCUAUUACUUGGAAUAUGAGAAUGCUUGAAAUGGUGAAACUAUAUGAUAUAGUUGAUGUUGCAUGACAUUGUUGAUUAUUGAUAAUCAUGUUGAAGUGUGAUGGUGAAUACUAUGAUUUAAUUGUGUAUGGGCAUGUUUUCUUGAUAAUGCAAUGUUGUGGAGAUAAUCAAUAUAAUUGGGUGUUGUCCUAUAUAUUGAGUUUGAAAUUGUGAUUGUUGUCGCAUUAUCGAGUCCUUACACAUGUCCAUGCAUCAUAGUCGUUGUUGCUGUAAAAGGGAUGACUCUUUUACUUCGAGAUUAUUGUAAGGCAGGUGUGAGCCCUUACAUUCGAUGUGCAAGUGACAUCGAAAGGUGACGACCUUGUUGAGAUUUGGUACCACAUGCAUUUAUGUGUCCAUAAGUGCAUAUCAUAGCAUGAGUCCUAUGUGAAAUAUGUGAUUGGUGAUGAAAUGAGAUGAAUGAAUGUUGAUAAUGAUUGUUCAAUGAUUGGUGUUGUGAAUGAAUAUUUAUGAUUGGGUAAUUAUUCAUGUGAUUGAUGUAUGUUGAUAUGAGAUAUCGAGUUGUGAUGUAAGUAUUUAUGCAUGACUAAUAUUAUUCAAGUACAUGAUAUUAUUUGAUUUGAUUAUUAUCUAGAUUAUGAUAAUGUAAUGCUUACCCCCAGUGGUUUUAACCGCCUACUUGCCUGUAUGGGUGAGUAGACGUUGUGCAGGAGUAGUCUCGGUGAGUCUUUGCUUGGGAUAUUGGGAGCUUCCUCCGAUAUCGGUGUCGUGUCGGCUCUGAUCUAGGCUUGUCGUGUCGGUCUAGAUUAGGUUGUUUAUAUUUUCCUUUGGAUUAUUAUUUUGUUGAUGACUACCCGUAUGUUUGGGUUUUGAGAUUUAUCUUUGGGAUAUGAUUUAUUUGCUCAUGGCAUGUAUAUAUUUGAUCACUCUGAUUUAUAUUCCGAUGCGACUGUUGAGGUUUACAUACAUGUCUAUCGGUUUUUGAAUUUUGAAUAAGACGUAAUCUCUAUUUCUUGAAUAAAUGUAUUAUUCGCAUGUUUAAUUGCUUUAAUAAAAAUAGGAGCGUUACAGCUUUCAUCAAAGACAUAUCUCUGUCGGUCACAAUCACCUUAGGCAUAUUCAUCUUUGACGUAAGAAGUUUACGCAACAUUUUUAAAACCCAAACAAAGUUUUCCUCUUUCUCAUGUGUCACAAAUCCAAACCCAACAGAAUAUGUCAAAUCGGUCGAAGUGACCUCAACUACCUCAAACAUUGGCAUCAUGUACAUGUUGGUUUUGUAGGUGGAGUCCAUAACCAAAACUGUUGGAAAAUUGUUAAACAACUUAACGGAUGUUGGAUGAGCCCAAAAGAUAUCUUCGAUUGUAGUACUUUCACUUUGUGUUCUUGAGUAAUAAGUAUAGUUGUGCUCCUCCAACUUCGAGAUUAGAUAUUGCAACGGCUUCUUGUCACCUCUAUUUGCCUUCCAUAUUUGUUGACGUUCAUUGUACACUUGCUUCACAUUUAUCAUGCAAUGUGGUCUUUUGUUCUUCAAAUGUAUCAAAAUAUUACUUGGAAGCAUCUUGCUCUUGAUCAAGUCACGUACAAUCUUCUUGUCGUCCUCCUUUAAUCUACCGGCAAGAGUGUGUCCUUCUAAAGCCGGCUCCAUCGCAUGGUUGUGAACUCCAUUAAGAAUGUUCAAUCAUCUUUCCUUUGUUUGCUUACUUUGAUAUCCACUAAUCAUGAACAAGCACCCACAUUUUCUUGAGCCCGUUCUCGCAUGUUUCGGUUUUUUUUUCGGCACUUUGUGAGCUCCACUCCUUUCACACACUAGGCGGAACAUUAGAUUGAUCAAGUUUGAUCUUUGUGUAACAAUUAUAAAUCCCGCCUUAUUUGCUUGACGACGUGCCCACUCAAGCAAUUCUUCUCUAUCUUUCGACUUAACGUCGUUUGAAAAAAACCUAGCCGUGUCAACUUUGCGGGCUUGAAGUGGGAGGACACCAGAGUCAACAUAUUUUGAAGCUCCAUUAAUGUUUGGUUUCGCUUCAAACUUAGGCGGUUUGACAUCUCCGAAAAAUUCGACAAAAUUUGGUUGUAUCUCUCCCGAAACAUCUUCCGUGUUCUCUACCAUUACUAUAAUUAAACAACACAUAAAUAGUUAAGGCUAAAAUAUGGUUUUAGUCCCUGCAAAUAUGCCUCGUUUUGGUUUUAGUGCCUAUAAAAAAAAUUGUUUUUGGUCUGUGCAAAAUUUCUUGUUUUUGAAAAUAGUCCCUGACCCCACUUUUGUGAUGAUUUGCAUACGUGACAUAUUAUAAUUGAACCAAUUUUGUAAUUUUUGGUCCCUACAACAAAUUUUGUUUUUAAAAAAGGUCCCUUCAGAAACAAAAAAUUUUGCAGGGACCAAAAACAAUUUUUUUUUUACAGGGACUAAAAUCAAAACGAGACAUAUUUGCAGGGACUAAAACCAUAUUUUAGCCUAACAACUAACUAAUGCAUAAACAUCAAUGCCACAAUGAAUUAAAAAAAAAAACAACAACAAAAAAAAAAUUUGAAAAAAAUGGUAGUAGCUGCCAUUUUUUCGUUGUGAAAAUUUUUCACCAAGUAUUCAUCGGUACCUUACUACCGAGGUUUUCCUCGGCAGUUAACUGUCGAGGUUUCCCUUGACAUGGUUCUAUGUAACUGACGUAGAUACCCAUAACAAAACCAAAAAAUGAACGGAUUAAAAUGCUCAAUACCUGUUUUUUUACGUCAAAAGUGUGUUGAUACCUCCUAUGCUUGAUGCUUGAAUGAUUUUGGAUCAAGAUUUGAUGAAAAAAAUUAUUGGAUUUGGGGACUGGAUGGAAGUAGUAUUGAAGUUGAUGAUGAAAAUAGUGUGUAGAGGGAGCAGGUAGUUGUUUCAUCUGAUGAAACAUAUUU